rnacentral:misc_RNA from 1 species
GAUGAAGAACGCAGCGAAAUGCGAUACUUGGUGUGAAUUGCAGAAUCCCGUGAACCAUCGAGUCUUUGAACGCAAGUUGCGCCCGAAGCCAUUAGGCCGAGGGCACGCCUGCCUGGGCGUCACACGUCGUUGCCCCCCCAUCUACUCCUUCGGGAUUGCGGGGGGCGGAUGAUGGCCUCCCGUGCGCCUCGCCGCGCGGUUGGCAUAAAUGCCAAGUCCUCGGCGACGCACGCCACGACAAUCGGUGGUUGCGAAACCUCGGUUGCCCGUCGUGUGCGGUCGUCGCGCAUCGAGGCUCGAAAAAAUUGCCGGGUUCCGGCUCGGCUUUCAACGCGACCCCAGGUCAGGCGGGGUUACCCGCUGAAUUUAAGCAUAUCAAUAAGCGGAGGA